rnacentral:rRNA from 1 species
UACAGAGGUCUCAAGCGUUGUUCGGAUUCAUUGGGCGUAAAGGGUGCGUAGGUGGCGUGGUAAGUCGGAUGUGAAAUUCCGGGGCUCAACCCCGGAACUGCAUUCGAUACUGCCAUGCUAGAGUACUGGAGAGGAGAUUGGAAUUUACGGUGUAGCAGUGAAAUGCGUAGAUAUCGUAAGGAAGACCAGUGGCGAAGGCGGAUCUCUGGACAGUUACUGACGCUGAGGCACGAAAGCGUGGGUAGCAAACAGG